AUGAACGCUAGCUACAGGCUUAACACAUGCAAGUCGAGGGGCAGCAUGAACUUAGCUUGCUAAGUUUGAUGGCGACCGGCGCACGGGUGAGUAACACGUAUCCAACCUGCCGAUGACUCGGGGAUAGCCUUUCGAAAGAAAGAUUAAUACCCGAUGGCAUAGUUCUUCCGCAUGGUAGAACUAUUAAAGAAUUUCGGUCAUCGAUGGGGAUGCGUUCCAUUAGGUUGUUGGCGGGGUAACGGCCCACCAAGCCUUCGAUGGAUAGGGGUUCUGAGAGGAAGGUCCCCCACAUUGGAACUGAGACACGGUCCAAACUCCUACGGGAGGCAGCAGUGAGGAAUAUUGGUCAAUGGACGAGAGUCUGAACCAGCCAAGUAGCGUGAAGGAUGACUGCCCUAUGGGUUGUAAACUUCUUUUAUACGGGAAUAAAGUGAGGCACGUGUGCCUUUUUGUAUGUACCGUAUGAAUAAGGAUCGGCUAACUCCGUGCCAGCAGCCGCGGUAAUACGGAGGAUCCGAGCGUUAUCCGGAUUUAUUGGGUUUAAAGGGAGCGUAGGCGGACGCUUAAGUCAGUUGUGAAAGUUUGCGGCUCAACCGUAAAAUUGCAGUUGAUACUGGGUGUCUUGAGUACAGUAGAGGCAGGCGGAAUUCGUGGUGUAGCGGUGAAAUGCUUAGAUAUCACGAAGAACUCCGAUUGCGAAGGCAGCUUGCUGGACUGUAACUGACGCUGAUGCUCGAAAGUGUGGGUAUCAAACAGGAUUAGAUACCCUGGUAGUCCACACAGUAAACGAUGAAUACUCGCUGUUUGCGAUAUACAGUAAGCGGCCAAGCGAAAGCGUUAAGUAUUCCACCUGGGGAGUACGCCGGCAACGGUGAAACUCAAAGGAAUUGACGGGGGCCCGCACAAGCGGUGGAGCAUGUGGUUUAAUUCGAAGCAACGCGAAGAACCUUACCAGGGCUUGACAUCCUACUAACGAAGCAGAGAUGCAUUAGGUGCCCUUCGGGGAAAGUAGAGACAGGUGGUGCAUGGUUGUCGUCAGCUCGUGCCGUGAGGUGUCGGCUUAAGUGCCAUAACGAGCGCAACCCUUAUCGAUAGUUACCAUCAGGUUAUGCUGGGGACUCUGUCGAGACUGCCGUCGUAAGAUGUGAGGAAGGUGGGGAUGACGUCAAAUCAGCACGGCCCUUACGUCCGGGGCUACACACGUGUUACAAUGGGGGGUACAGAAGGCAGCUACACGGCGACGUGAUGCUAAUCCCUAAAGCCUCUCUCAGUUCGGAUUGGAGUCUGCAACCCGACUCCAUGAAGCUGGAUUCGCUAGUAAUCGCGCAUCAGCCACGGCGCGGUGAAUACGUUCCCGGGCCUUGUACACACCGCCCGUCAAGCCAUGAAAGCCGGGGGUACCUGAAGUGCGUAACCGCAAGGAGCGCCCUAGGGUAAAACUGGUGAUUGGGGCU
rnacentral:rRNA from 1 species